GAUGAAGAACGCAGCGAAAUGCGAUACUUGGUGUGAAUUGCAGAAUCCCGUGAACCAUCGAGUCUUUGAACGCAAGUUGCGCCCGAAGCCACUAGGCCGAGGGCACGCCUGCCUGGGCGUCACACGUCGUUGCCCCCCCAUCUACUCCUUCGGGAUUGCGGGGGGGCGGAUGAUGGCCUCCCGUGCGCCUAGCCGCGCGGUUGGCAUAAAUACCAAGUCCUCGGCGACGCACGCCACGACAAUCGGUGGUGGCGAAACCUCGGUUGCCCGUCGUGUGCGUUCGUCGCGCAUCGAGGGCUCGAAAAAAUGCUCGGCUUCGGCUCGGCUUUCAACGCGACCCCAGGUCAGGCGGGGUUACCCGCUGAAUUUAAGCAUAUCAAUAAGCGGAGGA
rnacentral:misc_RNA from 1 species